GAUGAACGCUGGCGGCGUGCCUAAUACAUGCAAGUCGAGCGAACAGACGAGGAGCUUGCUCCUCUGACGUUAGCGGCGGACGGGUGAGUAACACGUGGAUAACCUACCUAUAAGACUGGGAUAACUUCGGGAAACCGGAGCUAAUACCGGAUAAUAUAUUGAACCGCAUGGUUCAAUAGUGAAAGACGGUUUUGCUGUCACUUAUAGAUGGAUCCGCGCCGCAUUAGCUAGUUGGUAAGGUAACGGCUUACCAAGGCAACGAUGCGUAGCCGACCUGAGAGGGUGAUCGGCCACACGGAACUGAGACACGGUCCAGACUCCUACGGGAGGCAGCAGUAGGGAAUCUUCCGCAAUGGGCGAAAGCCUGACGGAGCAACGCCGCGUGAGUGAUGAAGGUCUUCGGAUCGUAAAACUCUGUUAUUAGGGAAGAACAAAUGUGUAAGUAACUAUGCACGUCUUGACGGUACCUAAUCAGAAAGCCACGGCUAACUACGUG
rnacentral:rRNA from 1 species